rnacentral:rRNA from 1 species
GAUGAACGCUGGCGGCGUGCCUAACACAUGCAAGUCGAACGGAGUCCAGCCUUUAAGACCUUCGGGUCAAAGAGGGGAAGACUGAGUGGCGGACGGGUGAGUAACACGUGGGCAACCUGGCUCAUAGAGGGGGAUAACAGAGAGAAAUUUCUGCUAAUACCGCAUAAGCACACACUGCCUCAUGGCAGAGGGUGAAAAGAGAAUCGCUAUGAGAUGGACUCGCGUCUGAUUAGCCAGUUGGCAGGGUAAGAGCCUACCAAAGCGACGAUCAGUAGCCGAUAUGAGAGGAUGAGCGGCGACAUCGAGACUAAGAAACGGCCCAGAAUCCUACGGGAGGCGGCAGUGGGGGAUAUUGCACAAUGGGGGGAACCCUGAUGCAGCGACGCCGCGUGAGUGAAGAAGUAUUUCGGUAUGUAAAGCUCUAUCAGCAGGGAAGAUAAUGACGGUACCUGAAUAAGAAGCCCCGGCUAACUACGUG